rnacentral:lncRNA from 1 species
CCCUGGUGGCUCCAGAGAGAGCAGCGUUCCAUUCUCCGGGCUGGGAGCUCUGGUCUCAUGCGUCAUGGACAUUCUUGGACCCCAUCACUAACAUGGAAAAUAUUAUUCAGUCCAUGGCAGAGAGAAUGGUAAGAGCAAAGCCCCCGGGGCGUGGGUGUGUUUCUCUAACAUGUUUGAGUUCUUUUUUUUUUUUUUUUGAGACGGAGUCUCCCGCUCUGUUGCCCUGGCUGGAGUGCAGUGGCGCCAUCUUGGCUCACUGCAAGCUCCGCCUCCUGGGUUCACGCCAUUCUCCUGCCUCAGCCUCCCGAGUAGCUGGUAUUACAGGUGCCCGCCACCACGCCCGGCUAGUUUUUUGUAUUUUUAGUAGAGACGGGGUUUCACCAUGUUAGCCAGGAUGGUUUCGAUCUCC